GCCGGGAUAGCUCAGCAGGUAGAGCAGCUGAUUUGUAAUCAGCGGGUCGCGGGUUCAAUUCCUGUUCCCGGCUCCA
rnacentral:tRNA from 1 species